rnacentral:tRNA from 1 species
GGAGAGGUGGCCGAGUGGUCGAAGGCACACCCUUGCUAAGGGUGCGAAGGGGAAACUCUUCCGAGGGUUCGAAUCCCUCCCUCUCCG